GGCAAAUGAUGUUUGUCAUCACGAUGGUCUUCGGAUGCCUAAGGGUACUGCCGACAAAGCCACAAGGCUCAGCUGAUGCCAGAAG